UAAUUGAUGCCUUUGUUUUCAAAUGAGAUAUUUCUGGAGUGAUAAAUCUGGAUCUAUGGAUCUUACAUAAGGGAUUUAGGUGGGCAGCAGCACUUGGUUAUUUACAAGUUCAGGAUCCUGUUUAUAAAGCAAGGAAAGAUUGCUAUCUGUCUCCAGCACUAUGGCGAGAUAAUUAAUAGGAGCACUGCUGGAGACUGAUAGUGCAGGCGGCCGAUACCCAUGGCAGGAGCUCUCGUCAUCUAACUGCCACAGAAUUGUGAAGUACUUUAGAAGUACAUUCCAGUGGAGAAGAGAAAAAGAGACCCUGGAACAGACCCUUAAGAGACUUCAGCUUAAUAUGUCCAGUUGGCCCUUCCAACUCCUGUGGGUUCCACAUCUGUGCAUUCAACCAACAGCAACUCAACAAGACUUGGAAAAAAGAUUGCAUUUGUACCGAACAUGCAGAAACUUGUUUUCUUGUCAUUGUUCCCUAAACAUUAUAGUACCAAUUAUUUACAUUGCAUUUACCUUGUAUUAGAUAUUAUACAUAAUUUAGAGAUGAGUUAAAG
rnacentral:lncRNA from 1 species